CACCGGCGGCUCGAGUGGUGGCCACUUUUAUUGGGUCUAAAGCGUCCGUAGCCGGCUUGGCAAGUCCCCUGGGAAAUCUGGCGGCUUAACCGUCAGGCGUCCAGAGGAUACUGCCAGGCUUGGGACCGGGAGAGGUGAGAGGUACCUCAGGGGUAGGGGUGAAAUCUUGUGAUCCCUGAGGGACCACCAGUGGCGAAGGCGGCUACCUGGACCAACACUGACACUGAGGUGCGAAAGCGUGGGGAGCAAACAGG
rnacentral:rRNA from 1 species